rnacentral:lncRNA from 10 species
CUUAAUUUCUCAAAGAAAGAGAGAAGUUCAACACUGAAACUUGGGCGUUCAUGGAGUUACAAGAUGCCCUGGAGACUUAAAAGAUGAGUAAUGGAAGUAGGGUGAAGAGAACAAGCUUUAUUUACUUUGAAUGUUUGUCCCAAACUCCACUUUGUCCUAGUCCUACUAACACUCAUUAAAAACCAGCACUAUGUAUGAGAGCUGUGCCACUGCUCUCUCUGUAACUGGCAGCGCUUGCUUAGGGCUCCUAAGAUUGGCUCCUUAUGAGGUUGGCUUUUUCAUGAGCUUCGGUGUGAGAAACAGAGAUACGCAAUAUACUGACUUCCUUUUGCAAGACAUCUGUGAAGGUCAAGACACUCUCCAAGCACUCCUUUCCUGCCUGCUGUCCCCAGCCUAA